rnacentral:rRNA from 1 species
GACGGGGGGGGCAAGUGUUCUUCGGAAUGACUAGGCGUAAAGGGCACGUAGGCGGUGAAUCGGGUUGAAAGUGAAACGUCGCCAAAAAGUGGCGGAAUGCUCUCGAAACCAAUUCACUUGAGUGAGACAGAGGAGAGUGGAAUUCGUGUGUAGGGGUGAAAUCCGUAAAUAUACGAAGGAACGCCAAAAGCGAAGGCAGCUCUCUGGGUCCCUACCGACGCUGGGGUGCGAAAGCCAUGGGGAGCGAACAGG